rnacentral:ncRNA from 1 species
AAAAAGUGGAGACCAGAAACCACUAAAAAAAAGGGGGCGACACCGAAAAGCCAAAUGAGUAAGGACAGCA